UUCGCUCAUAGCGUAUAUUUAGUUGUUGCAGUUAAAAGCUCGUAGUUGGAUUUCGGGUGGGUUCUAGCGGUCCGCUUCGGUGAGUACUGCUAUGGCCUUCCUUUCUACGGGGGACGGGCUCCUGGGAUUAACUUCUCGGGAUCCGGAUUCCGUGAUGAUACUUUGAGUAAAUUGGAGUGUUCAAAGCAAGCCUGCGCUCUGAACAUUUUAGCAUGGAAUAUCACGAUAGGACUCUGGCCUAUCUUGUUGGUCUGUAGGACCAGAGUAAUGAUUAAGAGGGACAGUCGGGGGCAUUCGUAUUUCAUUGUCAGAGGUGAAAUUCUUGGAUUUAUGAAAGACGAACUACUGCGAAAGCAUUUGCCAAGGAUGUUUUCAUUAAUCAAGAACGAAAGUUGGGGGCUCGAAGACGAUUAGAUACCGUCGUAGUCUCAACCAUAAACGAUGCCCAACUAGGGAUCGGA
rnacentral:rRNA from 1 species